rnacentral:lncRNA from 1 species
CUCAGCAGUACUGCAGCUCUGCUGUCCCUGCAGAGUGAAAUGCUCUGAGAAGUGGAAGUUUUGUUCCCUGCGCUCUGCCAUCCAGGCACCGAGCUUUCAUGUCCUAAACUAUUGGUGCCAAGGGGUGAUAGCCAGAGCAGUGACGGCAACAAUUUAUGCUUUUUGGUCUGCAGCCUAAAUCUUGCAAAUCAGCACACCAUGGCAGUACUCCAGUGAUUGAUUUCUCUCUUGGGUUAAGCUGCCUGUGGGAUCUGACUGGGAGCUGGAAUCUGGGGAGCUUUCUCCAUCUCCUUAGGGAUGAAAGCUGUGGAGUGAUGCCAUGGCCAAGGAAGGCCUGGAACUGGGGCUGGGGCCGUGGUUGGUGCCUGGUGGGUGUCAGUCUGGAUUUGGACGGAGAUCAGCACAAGGUGGCAGCAUUUUAGCACAUUUGUGCUGAGCCUGAUCGGGAUGUGACUUGGGAGCUCCAAACUCUCUGGCUGUUUUGGAUAAAAAAAAGCACAGAGAAGAUGUGAGCCUGAGCAAACAGAAAGGAGUUAUAAAUUGUGGUCUCUACUUAACAGACCUGCACAAUGUAAGGGGUGACUGUGGAGCGUGCUGAACCAUUACAUGAGAACACACGAAGGAAAAUCCAGCAACUUGCCUGAUAAAGUAUUAUCAGUAGUUAAAAUCAUGUCAUUAAAAAUUAUGCAUUGUUUUCUAUAGGAGCUUUUCUAUUUACAAAUAGUUCCAACCACUGAUUACUACUGUACAUUUCAUCAUCAGAUUGAGAAGCUUCUUAUGAUGUCUCAUAGGUGCUUUUAUGGGGUUAAAGUCAUGAUUCAUCCUUUAAAAUAAAUGAAGCAGGCUGAACCCUUUAAAUAUAUCAGAAAAUAAAAAUUCUACGUUCUCAGCAGCUUUCUUCUGUGUACUUUCUAGCUUCUCAACAUGUUAUCAGAGUGGCUGCAUUGCUCUGCUAUUGAUCUCAGCAGCACCAUACAGAGGUAAAAUGUCACCUCCCUGCUGCUCCUCAUUACUGCCGUAUUUGUACCACCAA